CACGGGAUUCCCUUAGUAAGUGCGACUGAACAGGGAUGAGCCCAGCGCAUAACUUCGUUGUAUUGUAAAAUAUUUCGAGGGGUGUUGCGUUUCAGAGGGUCCAGCACACCACUGCCACCGCCUAAGUUUCCGCUUGAACGCGUCUUUACCAUGGAGGGUGACAGUCCCGUAUGGCGGCUCCCGUGAGGGUUUGGAUUUGUGGUGGAAAGGACCUCUCUGUAGAGUCGGGUUGCCUAAUAUCGCAACCUAAAGUAGGUGGUAAACUCCAUCUAAGGCUAAAUAUGACCACGAGA
rnacentral:rRNA from 1 species